rnacentral:lncRNA from 1 species
UAAAUUUGAGGGAUAUUUAUAAAAUUUUAUAUAUCUUUGGUGGUGAAUUGAGAUACUUUGGAGGUGGAAAUAACACCACUCUUAUUUAAUGAUAUGAUUAGAGAUAAUAUUUAUAGUUGAUUAAUAAGGGUGAAUCAGGAAAAAUGUGCAUUUAAUGCAGAAUUGGGAUUGUAAAAUGAAUAUAAAACACAAAUAUUGAUGUGGUGUGAUUUUAUAUCAUGACUGCAGUUCCUCCAUCGCACUUUAUGAGUUUCGUUGUGGCCGCUAACUAUGUCACGAAUAGUUGUUAGGACGUCCGAGUUAACUCUUUCAUGCUAAAAAAAAUCAAAAAAUUAUCUGAUGCUCGAGUCAACUCUAGACGAUAAAAAAAAUCAAAAAAUUAUCUGAGCUUAGGGUUGAUCCAACGUAAAUUCUUCCACGCUCAAGUUAGAUAUCUAGGGGUAGAUCACAAGAGUCCUAGAGAACUCAAGAGAAUAAUAAAAGAGUAUCUUUAAUAAUGAGUUGCAGGUCUUAUUUAAAGUUAAUCUAGAGGUAUAACUUUAAUUAAUUAAUGGGCAUGUUAAUUGUUCCCUAAAAUAAUUAAGUAAAUUUUGUCACACUACACAGGGUCCAAUAUUAAUUAACUGUGUAAAUCUUUCAUAAAGGCAAUGUCAAAGUUGCAUUUAGUUUAUAUAUUAUCGAAAUCUCGUGGACAACAUAUGUAUUGAAUUUGAAAAAUAAACAUUUAAGUGAAUGUUGCAUCUUUUCAUUCAUCUUCAUGAAUUAUGAUCAUUUUACAAUCACAACUAAAUAUUUAAAUUUUGGUUUAUAUAUUUCUUAAAUUAUAGAAGAAUUCGCACCCAUAAUUUUAUUUAUAGCAACUUCAAUAAGUUUAUUAUUUUGUAGAGACAAUAUUAACAAAAGGGAGCUAGUCUUAUUCUUGAACGUGGACAAAAGGAAAUAACGUGUGAGCUAUAUUAUUAUUAUAUAUUAAGUUGAGGAUGCAUGCAUGCAUGGCAACAAACUAGUAAUCAUGGCUGAUAUAUUUUGAACGUAAUGGUGGUUGAUUCGUGUAAGAUUAACUAGACGACGGGUGGUGGUGGGGAGCGGCAUAAUAUCGGGAGUAAGCAGAAAAUCGGGCGGCGUGGAGGUGGCGGUGGUGACAAUGGGCAGAAUAUUGAGAGGUCUAUCAAUAAUGGAGGUAAAAUUGGAGGGUAUGGUAUGCAUAUACGUGGACGCGGUGGUGGUGGAGACCGUGAUGGUGGAGGCGGUGGUGGAGGUGGUGGUGGAGGCGAUGAUGGAGGUGGCGGUGAUGGAGGUGGUGGUGAUGGUGGUGGAGGUGGAGGCGGUGAUGGUGGUGGUGGUGAUGGAGGAGGCGGUGAUGGAGGUGGUGGUGGUGGUGGAGAAGACAACAAUGGAGGUGGAGGAGGUGGUGAUAGAAGUAAAGGAGGUAGGCCAGAUGGAGGAGCCGGUGAUGGCGGCGGAGGGUUAAGUUCCGGUGGCGGCGGAGAUAGGCAAAAUAUUGGUAGAGGAGCUAAAAUAGGCAAGAGUGUUAAUAAAACCCAUAAUUUGAGUUGCAUGUUCAUCACCAUAUAUAGAUCACUCUAUAUUUGUUUGCAAAAUAAGUUGAAUGUUU